rnacentral:rRNA from 1 species
GAGAGGUAGACGGUACUCAGUAGGAAGGGGUAAAAUCCUUUGAUCUAUUGAUGACCACCUGUGGCGAAGGCGGUCUACCAGAACACGUUCGACGGUGAGGGAUGAAAGCUGGGGGAGCAAACCGGAUUAGAUACCCGGGUAGUCCCAGCUGUAAACGAUGCAGACUCGAUGAUGCAUUGGCAUAUAGCCAGUGCAGUGUCGCAGGGAAGCCGUUAAGUCUGCCGCCUGGGAAGUACGUACGCAAGUAUGAAACUUAAAGGAAUUGGCGGGGGAGCACCACAAGGGGUGAAGCCUGCGGUUCAAUUGGAGUCAACGCCAGAAAUCUUACCCGGAGAGACAGCAGAAUGAAGGUCAAGCUGAAGACUUUACCAGACAAGCUGAGAGGUGGUGCAUGGCCGUCGCCAGCUCGUGCCGUGAGAUGUCCUGUUAAGUCAGGUAACGAGCGAGAUCCUCGCCACUAGUUGCUAUCAUUAUUCUCAGGAAUAGUGGGGCGAAUUAGUGGGACUGCCGUUGUUAAAACGGAGGAAGGAGGGGGCUACGGCAGGUCAGUAUGCCCCGAAACUCUGGGGCCACACGCGGGCUGCAAUGGUAGCGACAAUGAGCUCCAAACUCGAAAGAGAGUGGCAAUCUCUAAACGCUACCACAGUUAUGACUGAGGGCUGUAACUCGCCCUCACGAAUAUGGAAUCCCUAGUAACCGCGUGUCAUUACCGCGCGGUGAAUACGUCCCUGCUCCUUGCACACACCGCCCGUCGUUUCAUCGAAGUUUGCUUUUAGCGAGGUGAUGUUUAAUUGACAUUAUCGAACUUGAGGUAAGUGACGAGGGAAAAGUCGUAACAAGGUGACCGUAGGGGAACCUGCGGUCG